AGAGUUUGAUCAUGGCUCAGAUUGAACGCUGGCGGCAGGCCUAACACAUGCAAGUCGAACGGUAGCACAGAGAGCUUGCUCUCGGGUGACGAGUGGCGGACGGGUGAGUAAUGUCUGGGAAACUGCCUGAUGGAGGGGGAUAACUACUGGAAACGGUAGCUAAUACCGCAUAACGUCGCAAGACCAAAGAGGGGGACCUUCGGGCCUCUUGCCAUCAGAUGUGCCCAGAUGGGAUUAGCUAGUAGGUGGGGUAACGGCUCACCUAGGCGACGAUCCCUAGCUGGUCUGAGAGGAUGACCAGCCACACUGGAACUGAGACACGGUCCAGACUCCUACGGGAGGCAGCAGUGGGGAAUAUUGCACAAUGGGCGCAAGCCUGAUGCAGCCAUGCCGCGUGUAUGAAGAAGGCCUUCGGGUUGUAAAGUACUUUCAGCGGGGAGGAAGGUGUUGUGGUUAAUAACCACAGCAAUUGACGUUACCCGCAGAAGAAGCACCGGCUAACUCCGUGCCAGCAGCCGCGGUAAUACGGAGGGUGCAAGCGUUAAUCGGAAUUACUGGGCGUAAAGCGCACGCAGGCGGUCUGUCAAGUCGGAUGUGAAAUCCCCGGGCUCAACCUGGGAACUGCAUUCGAAACUGGCAGGCUAGAGUCUUGUAGAGGGGGGUAGAAUUCCAGGUGUAGCGGUGAAAUGCGUAGAGAUCUGGAGGAAUACCGGUGGCGAAGGCGGCCCCCUGGACAAAGACUGACGCUCAGGUGCGAAAGCGUGGGGAGCAAACAGGAUUAGAUACCCUGGUAGUCCACGCCGUAAACGAUGUCGACUUGGAGGUUGUGCCCUUGAGGCGUGGCUUCCGGAGCUAACGCGUUAAGUCGACCGCCUGGGGAGUACGGCCGCAAGGUUAAAACUCAAAUGAAUUGACGGGGGCCCGCACAAGCGGUGGAGCAUGUGGUUUAAUUCGAUGCAACGCGAAGAACCUUACCUACUCUUGACAUCCAGAGAACUUUCCAGAGAUGGAUUGGUGCCUUCGGGAACUCUGAGACAGGUGCUGCAUGGCUGUCGUCAGCUCGUGUUGUGAAAUGUUGGGUUAAGUCCCGCAACGAGCGCAACCCUUAUCCUUUGUUGCCAGCGGUUAGGCCGGGAACUCAAAGGAGACUGCCAGUGAUAAACUGGAGGAAGGUGGGGAUGACGUCAAGUCAUCAUGGCCCUUACGAGUAGGGCUACACACGUGCUACAAUGGCGCAUACAAAGAGAAGCGACCUCGCGAGAGCAAGCGGACCUCAUAAAGUGCGUCGUAGUCCGGAUUGGAGUCUGCAACUCGACUCCAUGAAGUCGGAAUCGCUAGUAAUCGUAGAUCAGAAUGCUACGGUGAAUACGUUCCCGGGCCUUGUACACACCGCCCGUCACACCAUGGGAGUGGGUUGCAAAAGAAGUAGGUAGCUUAACCUUCGGGAGGGCGCUUACCACUUUGUGAUUCAUGACUGGGGUGAAGUCGUAACAAGGUAACCGUAGGGGAACCUGCGGUUGGAUCACCU
rnacentral:rRNA from 1 species